CGUUCUCGGGUCUUGUACACACCGCCCGUCAAGUGAGCCGAGUUGGGGGUAAUCGAAGCUCCCGAGCAAUCGGGAAUUAGAUUAAAUUCAGCGAGGAGCGCU
rnacentral:rRNA from 1 species